AACGAACGCUGGCGGCAGGCCUAACACAUGCAAGUCGAACGCCCUAGCAAUAGGGAGUGGCAGACGGGUGAGUAACACGUGGGAACCUUCCCUAUAGUACGGAAUAGCCCAGGGAAACUUGGAGUAAUACCGUAUACGCCCGAAAGGGGAAAGAUUUAUCGCUAUAGGAUGGGCCCGCGUAGGAUUAGCUAGUUGGCGGGGUAAUGGCUCACCAAGGCGACGAUCCUUAGCUGGUUUGAGAGAACGACCAGCCACACUGGGACUGAGACACGGCCCAGACUCCUACGGGAGGCAGCAGUGGGGAAUAUUGGACAAUGGGCGCAAGCCUGAUCCAGCCAUGCCGCGUGAGUGAUGAAGGCCUUAGGGUUGUAAAGCUCUUUUGCCGGGACGAUAAUGACGGUACCCGGAGAAUAAGUCCCGGCUAACUUCGUGCCAGCAGCCGCGGUAAU
rnacentral:rRNA from 1 species